AGAGUUAGAUCCUGGCUCAGGAUGAAUGCAUGUGGAAUGCUUAACACAUGCAAGUCGAACAUGAAACACGGGAAAUGGUGUUUCCAGUGGCGGAUGGGUGAGUAACACAUAAGAACCUGCCCUUGGGAGGGGAACAACAGCUGGAAACGGCUGCUAAUACCCCGUAGGCUGAGGAGCAAAAGGAGGAAUCUACCUAAGGAGGGGCUCGCAUCUUAUUAUCUAGUUAGUAAGGCAAUAUAUUACCAAGACGAUGAUCAGUAGCUGGUCCAAGAGGAUGAUCUACCACACUAGUACUGAGACACGACCCAGAAUCCUAUAGGAGGCAUCAGUGGGGAAUUUUCUGCAAUGGCUGAAAGCCUGAUGGAGAAAUGCCGCGUGGAGGUAGAAGGCCCACCGGUCAUGAACUUCUUUUCUUGGAGAAGAAGAAAUGAAGGUAUCUGGGAAAUAACAAUCAUCUAACUCUAUGCCAUCAGCCGCGGUAAUACAGAGGAUGCAAGCGUUAUCCAAAAUGAUUGGGCAUAAAGCAUCUGUAGGUGGAUUUUAAGUCCACCAUCAAAUCCCAGGGCUCAACCUUAGACAGGUGGUGGAAACUACUAAGAUAGAGUAUGGUAGGGGCAGAGGGAAUUUCUAGUGGAGUAGUGAAAUGUGUAGAGAUCGAAAAGAACACCAACGGUGAAAACACUCUGCUGGGCUGACAUUGACACUGACACUGAGGGAUGAAAUCUAGGGAAGCAAAUAGGAUUAGAUACCCUAGUAGUCCUAACAAUAAACGAUGGAUACUAGGCACUGUGUAUAUCGACCCAUGCAAUGUUGUAGCUAACGCAUUAAGUAUCCUUCCUGGGAAGUACGUUCGCAAGAAUGAAAUCCAAAGGAAUUGAUGAGGGCCCGCACAAGCAGUGGAGCAUGUGGUUUAAUUUGAUGAAAAGCAAAAAACCUUACCAGGGCUUAACAUUCUGCGAAUCCUCUUGAAAGAGAGGUGUGCUUUCGGGAAUGUGGACACAGGUUGUGCAUGGUUGUUGUCAGCUCGUGUCGUAAGGUGUUGGGUUAAGUUCUUCAACGAGCGCAACACUCAUAUUUAGUUUCCAUCAUUGAGUUUGGAACCCUUAACAGACUGCCGGUGAUAAGACAGAGAAAGGUGAGGAUGAUCAAGUCAUCAUGCCCCUUAUUCCCUAGGAAACACAUGUACUACAAUGGCCAGGACAAAGGUUUGUGAUCCUGUAAGGGUGAGAUAACCCCAAAAACCCAUCCUUAGUUCAUAUUGCAGGCUGCAACUCGCUUGCAUAGAGCCAGAAUCACUAGUAAUAGGCGAUCAACCAUACGACGGUGAAUUCAUUCUCGGGCCUUGUACUCUUAUCCCGGCACACUAUGGGAGAUGACCAUGCCCAAAGUCAUUUUCUUAACCGCAAGAAGGGGGAUGCUGAUUGCAGGGCUAGUGAUCGGAGUGAAGUCAUAAUAAGGUAGCAGUAUGAGAAGGUGUGGCUG
rnacentral:rRNA from 1 species